ACGACCUUACUUGAACAACUUGAACAGGAUCUGUUCUAUAGGCUCGUACCGUUGCAUCCUUUACCAAUAAGGAGGCAAGCACUCAAGUCUGGUUGAUGCGACAUGACCUCUGGGCCAGAGCGUGAUUAACGGGCCAGGAUGACUCCGAUGCGGGCUCAUCCGACGGCUGUAGAGGAUCGUUCCUGCCUGGUUCACUCCAGUGCAGGGUGGUCCAGAGGUUGUCUGACAGACA
rfam:Oryza rufipogon genomic scaffold, chr08